AGUGAACGCUGGCGGCGUGCUUAACACAUGCAAGUCGAACGAGAACGGGUUAUAGCUUGCUAUAACUGUCAGCUAAGUGGCGCACGGGUGAGUAAUAUAUAGUUAACCUGCCCUAGAGAGGGGGAUAACAUUUGGAAACGAAUGCUAACACCCCAUAUGCCUUUAACACAAAAGUGUGCAAGGGAAAUAUUUAUAGCUCUAGGAUGGGACUGUACGGUAUCAGAUAGUUGGUGAGGUAAUGGCUCACCAAGUCAAUGACGCCUAACUGGUUUGAGAGGAUGAUCAGUCACACUGGAACUGAGACACGGUCCAG
rnacentral:rRNA from 1 species